rnacentral:tRNA from 1 species
AAAUCUUUAGUUUAAUAGUAGAAUUUUUCAUUUACAAUGAAAGGGUUUAAAGAUUUU